rnacentral:rRNA from 1 species
UACGUAGGGGGCGAGCGUUGUCCGGAAUUAUUGGGCGUAAAGGGCGUGUAGGCGGCCUCUUAAGUCCGGUGUGAAAGCCCCCGGCUCAACCGGGGAGGGUCACUGGAAACUGGGGGGCUUGAGAGCAGGAGAGGAGAGCGGAAUUCCACGUGUAGCGGUGAAAUGCGUAGAGAUGUGGAGGAACACCAGUGGCGAAGGCGGCUCUCUGGCCUGGCUCUGACGCUGAGGCGCGAAAGCGUGGGGAGCAAACAGG